UGGGGAAUCUUGCACAAUGGACGAAAGUCUGACGGAGCGACGCCGCGUGUGGGAUGAAGGCCUUCGGGUUGUAAACCACUGUCGAGGGGGAGCAAAUUUGAGCGAUCCCCGGAGGAAGCACAGGCUAAAUUCGUGCCAGCAGCCGCGGUAAUACGAAUUGUGCGAACGUUAUUCGGAAUCACUGGGCUUAAAGGGUGCGUAGGCGGCCAUGAAGGUCUGAUGUGAAAUCCCACGGCUCAACCGUGGAAUUGCGUUGGAAACCACAUGGCUUGAGUAGGACAGAGGUGAGCGGAACUGAUGGUGGAGCGGUGAAAUGCGUUGAUAUCAUCAGGAACACCGGUGGCGAAAGCGGCUCACUGGGUCCUAACUGACGCUGAGGCACGAAAGCCAGGGGAGCAAACGGGAUUAGAUACCCACGUAGUCCCUGACGCGGGCUGGCA
rnacentral:rRNA from 1 species